AAGUCGUAACAAGGUCUCCGUUGGUGAACCAGCGGAGGGAUCAUUACAGAAGCAUUCUUUGCUCCUAAACACCUGUGAACAUACCUUUUAUUAGUUGCUUCGGCGGAUCUGCCCCUCGGGGGGCGCCCAAGGUCCGCCGGAGGUUUUUAAAACUCUUGUUUUUAGUGGUCUUCAGAACAACCAAAAAAUAAAUCAAAACUUUCAACAACGGAUCUCUUGGCUCUA
rnacentral:misc_RNA from 1 species